UACGAUAAGAGUAGUAACUAACAAGGUUUCUGAGAAUUGAGGUAACAUAUAAAAUGCCUAAAUAGUGCCUACCAAAUAGGAAUACUGUAAAAGUGGUUACUUAUUAUUUUGUUGUUGUGUUUUAUAGUUUAACUCCUCACAGGUAUUUCCUACCCAAAUUUGAAAUUCUAUUCUUCACAGAAGCAGCUAUGCAAUUGCUCUCUUUUGAUUUUUUCCCUUUAGGGUAUAGUUCUUUUUCUUUCAAAAUUAAAUGACUCUCCUGUCAUUUAUGCUUAUGGUAUGUACACAGACAAACUUUCUGGAGAGGAAUUUGGCCACACAUAUCAAAAGUCUUAACAAAUGUUCAUAACAUUUGAUCUAGGUAAUUUAUUUCUAAGAAUUUAUUCUAAUAUAUAAUUUAAAGUGAGUGCAAAAAUUCUGCCAAAAGGGCUUUUUAAAAAUCAUAGUAAUAUUUAUUGUAACAAAGUUACAUAAAAGCUAUUUUGUAAUGGUUAUUAAAAAUCAUAUACAUAUUAAUAUAAUCAAGUACUAUCCAAUCACUGAAAAUUGAAUUUAAGAUCAUUUUCAACAAAAAAACAUAUUUGCUAUAUAAUAUUGAGUGAAAUAAAGACAAGACACUACCAAGAACAGAACACUUCAAGAAGUUUUCUUUGGUGAUAUAAAUAUUCUCUAUCUAUACUGUUCAAGAUGGUAGUCAUUAGCCACAUAAUAACCAUGCAUUAGACAUGUGGCCAAUGCAACUAAGAAACUUAAUUUUUCAUUUCAUUUCAUUUUAAUUAACUUAAAUUUAAAUAGUCAGAUAUAGUUCAUGGCUACCAUAAUGAACAGUGAAGGUCUACUGUAUCUUUUGUUUAUUGAUUCUUCUGUUUCUACUUUCCUUACCUUCUCUUAAUGCUUCUCUCAUGUCUCUGUCCCUCCCUCCAGAUUCAACUUUAAAGGGAGUCUUCACUCUUCUCCUAUUUUUUAGCUGGCAUCAUCUGUUUUCAGGAGAUAACCCAAUAAUGAAUCUUUUUCAAGGCAUAAUGAGACUCUAUGGGCUUCUAGUUUCAUAAGUAUUUGGAACCUAACCAAAAUCUGACUUACUGCUAAAGUAAUCUCACAAGAAUUUCACACAUUAAGCUGAACAUGAGGGUAGCAAAUAAAAUUACUUUUUACCAUAUAAUAAGUGACCUUCCAUAUUCACUUUUUGAAGUAUUCAAUGUUGCCUGGAGGAAAAGGCAUUAGACUUAUUUUGUAAGGUUACUGAAGUAAUAAACCAUGACAAAAAAGUGGACCAACUGCAACUUUGUUGAAUUUAUUACCUCUUGUAGUUUUCUCAUGGAUUCUUUAGGAUCUUCCAUUAUAGCAUCAUGUUCACAAAUGAGUGAACAGAAAUACUUUCUUUUCUUCCCAAUUUGAAUCCUUUUAUUUGUUUUUUUCUUGUCUAAGUGCUAUAGCUAAGAACAUCCAGAACAAUGUUGAAUAGCAAUGGUAAGAGUGGAGAUCUGUGUCCUUUCCUGAUUUUAUGAGGGAAGCUUUCAGUCUUUCACCAUUGAGUGUGAUGUCAGCUGUGGGUUGUUUUCUGUUUGUUAGUUUGUUUUUUAUAAAUGCUGUUUUAUCAUGUAGCAGAAGUUCCCUUUUCAUCCUAAUUUUCUGACAGUUCUCAUAAUAAAAAUAUGUUAGACUUUGUCAACGUGAAUUACUUCCAAGUCAUUAACAACCUUUAAACAGCAUUGAGCUUUGUGCAGUCAACAAUUUAAUAAGUGUUUGCUGAGUUAAACUGAUUUGAAAAUGGCAAACACCAAAAACCUGGAAUCACAUGUCAAGAAACAUGCUUUGAAUACAUUAUCCUUAGAGAUUCACUUGGAAAGACUAACUUCCCCACCUCCCCAUAUGUACAGAAGCCAUGUAACUCACAUAGGAAUUUUUUUUUUUAAAUCAGCUUUUACACUAAGUAAAUUUUAAAAUAUGUAAAGAGUGAACUCUGAUACUUAACACUAUUAGUAAACAUAGUUGUCUAGGAACCCUCCAGAAUUAAAAUAGGCUUGGCCUAAUGGAAGAGUGAGAAAACAAAGCCUCAAUAGGUUCAAAUACUUGAACCUAUUGUAGAGUAUUUGCAGCCUCAGAAGCCAAUGUCAAACAUAAAAUGUUCCUCGACAGCUUGGUGUCAAAUUUGAAUAUCUGAGCAUUUCCUCUAAUUAGAUCACAUGACAUAUAUAUUUAAAGUCUAUCAACAUCAGAGCAUUAUUUUGCAGAAGGGACUCUGUUACCAGAAAUCUCUAUUUCUCCUCUUGGGUACAUCUGUGGCAUUUCUUACUAGGUAUCAUUGACCCAGGUAUGUUAUUUUCCUUUCAGGUAUUCUAAUUGGACCUUGCUGAUGAAAAAAAAUCCACAAGGAACACGCAGUACAAAAUAAUAUUUGUCACUGAUGUGGUAGAAAUAGAAAAUUAUACAAACAAUUUGGGAAUUAUAGGUUCAUCACCACUGGGGUGAAAAGUUAUAGACCAUUUCUCACCCUCAAUUAUCCAUUGGUUCCCUGUUGUGCCUGAGCCAAAUACCUGGUUUCUUUGCAUGCUUCUCUAACUUCUACUCACCAAGAUCUAACACUCAAAUAUGACAGCCAGGAGUGAUAGUGGCCAGGUUCUUGGUGAAUACCUUCAAGGGCAAUAAUAUAUGUUUGCCUGUAACUCAUAAUUAAUCACUAAAUUUCCUUUUGGGAAAAAAAAAACACAUCUUGGGGUAUAUUUUACUGUCCAGGGGGCAAGAAAUGACAGGAUGGGAAGAGAGGAGAAAGCAAGUAAGGGGGGAUGAUUGAAAACAUUUGACUUGGCUUGAAAUAAAAGUACAUAUUUCACACAUAUUUUUAACCAACCCCAAAAGACAGCCUGACUUCGAACACGCUGAACAGGAAGCCAUUUACUGUUGGAAUGCUUGCUGAGCCCAUCCAAAACACACACACUCCUAAUACCCCUGGGCUAUCUAAAAAGGGUUGGUGUGAAAAUAUUUAACUUAUAUGUGUAAUUCUGCUUCCUGUUUUAUUUUUUUCUUCUUUGCCAACUCUGUUUUACAAACUUUGUGAAAAAUGAUAGGAAACCUAUUUCAUUUUUGUCCCCACCCUUUAUUGACUCAGCUGUAGAUUCUACUUCAAUUUAUAGCUCAGACCUGGCUUGAAGACCAAAGAGAAAGGUAAAGGCAAACUGCUAAACUCUCAAGGUUACUGUGGCUAAAGAGGAAUCUCUGUGGAGGAAAGCUUGCUGUGGUGUUGAUAUAUCAAGGGCAAGAGGGUGUGGAACAGGAACUGGCCUUGGCUUUCAGAAUGUGUACAUUUAGUAGCGUCCAUUCAAAAAGAGUAAAAGGAAGGGUAUGGAGAGGAGGAGGGGAAAGGAAUUUUCUGAGGAUUAGAUAAGUUGCUAGAGACACCUGAAUCCUAUUAAAUUUCAAAAAAAAAACAGUCUUGGUUAUCAAGAGGAAUUUAAAAAUAUUUUGUAGAGGAAAAUAGAAAGACCCAAAUAAUUCAUAAUUAUAAUUCAAGCAAAAGAAUUUUCCAAAACUUGGUUUAACAUUGAAGAUAUGCUCUUUUAGAAUAAAAUGAAUUCCAGAUUGGUGUACUUUACAUAGGAUACCUGUUACCCUUAUUAUAUUUUGACUCCUUGAAAAUGCUGAGUCAAUGUGCAAUAAAAGGUUUGAAAAAAAAUCGGAAACCAACUGGAAAUCCAGCAAGCUUGAAGCUCAGAUUUCAAAAUUCUUGAUCUCAAUCUAAUUUUCCCAGAAAGCUGACCACAUUCUAUGGAAAUCUUGUCAUAGAAAGAGUUUUAUAAUUGAACAGUUUGUUUUAAAUACUUCAAAAGAGGUGGAGAAACUUGCAAAUACCUGAACUCAAAUAAGUAUUUCAACAUUACCUCCUGAAGCUAUGCUUCAAUUUUAUAUCAGACUAACACUCUAAGUGGAACACUAUCCUGGGAAAUUAUACGUGUCACUAUAGGUUUUACAAUGCUUUAAUGGUCAGGUCACUGGUUUGCCUUAAACUUCUGCCUGAAGUAGAUAAAGGCAAGGCAGCAAGCCACUUUUAAACUAUUGUGGAGAUAUUCAACAGUACAGUAAAACAGUUCCUUAGAUCUCUUGUUAGAGAUCAGCUUUCAAAGUUUAUAAGCAAGAAAUGUGAUAACAUCAGUUUGUAAUUUUGAAUUUGAAAAAAAAGACUUUCUAUUAACCUCAAAAGACUAUAUGGCUGCAGAUGCACACUAUGGUUGACACCAUGUGAAGACUAUGUCCACUGAUUCUUAUCACUGUCACAUAUUUUCAGCAUGGCUUAUUUUAAGGAAGGUGAUGUGAAAGUAGAUUUCUGAUAUAUUUUCAAGGUAAAAUAGGGUGAAUUAUCAGAUCUGCUGCAUAGUCUUUCCUAUGUCAGCCAACUGCAAUAAUCAUUAAGAUGGCUGUUACAAAACCCCUGAGAGAAAUUUUCACAUAAAAUUAUAUAUCCUAGAAUUAGGUAUCAUAUCCAGUCACCUGUGAAUUGUGCCAACCAAUGGUGCACAGUUCAACCAACUUGAUGAUGUCAGGUAUAAGCCAGAUCAUGCCACCCUAUACCCACUCUGGAACCAACAGAACGUUUCAAAAAAGGAUAUCCUUCCCUCCUGAGUGUACUUGAGUUCUAGACACCUUCAUGAUCUAUAUCUAAUGACCAACAACCCAAGGAAUUGUGCAGCCUGAAGCCCUGGGAUUAACUUUGGGUAGGUAAGUUCUUGGCACUACCUUGGAAAAUUCAGUCAAUCUUCUUGACCUGUUCUGUUCCUAUUUCUCCUUCUGUGCCUUGACUUUAUAUCUAAUUGGCAUACUGCAGUGUCCUGCUGAGAUGGCUUACAUGGGGCCUACUUUUUUUCUUCAUGUCAACUAUACUCUUCUUGUCUCCUAUAAUUAAAAUGUGACUCCAAUUCUCAUACCAUAUGUCAGAUCACCUUCCCUAGUUAACAACUCAAACUACACUUGUCUUAGUGUUUGGCCACUGCAAAAAGCUCUCCAAACCUUGUCCCCAGCUCUUCUUCUCAGAUAAGGCCCACUAACCCCAGAGAUUGGUACCUGCCUAUAUUGGGAUGCCAUUUUUGCCAUACUCCCUGAAUUUUGAGUUUUGUAGGUUGUAGUCCCUUUGUUGAGGAAGAAGGAUCUACAGAUGGUCCUGCCUCCAUUACUUCCUUCUACUAAGCUUAGUCCCUUCAGGGUCCUGGUUUCCACACUGGGUGUAACUCUCUUGGGAGCCAUUCCUGAUGGGCACUGGUUACAAAUGAAUAUUCAUUCCCACCUCACAUAUUCCUUCCCAGUAUUUUCAAAUAUAAAGGCCACUUUACAGUGAAGAAAUUACUCAAAUCCCUCCUUGUGUAAUUAUAAUUUUAACAUUUUUAAUUUUAACUUUUAAAAAAAUUUUAUUUAUUUAUUCAUGAGACACACAGAGAGAAAGAGGAAGAGACAUAGGCAGAGGGAGAAGCAGGCUCCCCAUGGGGAGCCUGAUGCAGGACUCGAUCUCAGGACCCCGGGAUCAUGACCUGACCCAAAGGCAGAUGUUCAACCACUGAGCAACCCAGGUGCCCCUAAUUUUAACAUUUUUAAAUUGGGUAAUAAAAAGUAUCAUUAGGAGUAUUUUUAAUUUAAUUUAUACUUUUUGGAUAUAUUCUUGAUAUAUCCAUAUCUUUGACAAAUCAUCCAUGUUUGACUAAACUAGAUAAUGCAUGUUAUAUCCAGCAUGAUACCUAUACAUAAUAGUACAAAAUAAACAUUAGCUAUGAUUAUUGUUGAUGCUGUUCUUACUCUAAACAUUAACUCACAUAAGGCUACUACAUGAUCUCCCUGCUUCUAAUCUUGUCCCUUUACAGCAGCAGCAGUGAUCACCCUUAAACCUGAAUCUGAUAAGGUCAUAAAACACAAAUUUAUUUAAGUUUUCCUACCAAGCCAAAAAUAAAAUACCAGCUUCUUGCCCGAACCGACAAUGCCCUUCAUGAUCUGGCCCCUGCCUGACCUUCCAGCUUUCUUUCUGAUCCUCAAAUCAAGCUUCUAGCAUCCACAGAACCAUUGCCCUGGCUAAUUUUCCACCCAGCAGACAUUUCCUCUAGAUCUACACAUGGCUACCUCUUCUUCAGUCAUCACAUCUUGGUUCAAAGGACAUCACUUCAGAAAGUACUUCACUUAGCCAUCCAAUUUAAAUAGCCAUGUAGUCCUCCCUAUCACAUUUCCUCCUUCUAAUCCUCUGAGUAGCAAUUUUAUCUAUUACUUCUAUUGUUUAUUCACUUAUUUCCUGUCUUUACCCUCACCCCACCCCAAAAAAAUAUAAGCAGGGCACCUAUCUACCUUAUUAACCACAAUAUUCUUGAAGCAUCUAAUUUGUACAUCUAGUAUAUUCAGCCUACAGACAACAAAUAAUAUACAUUAUUGCAGAUUCCUUACAAUAAAUCAUUGGACUCACCCCACCUAUGGCCUACUAUAUUCAAUGAUACUUCCUCUGAAAUUGAGCAAGUCAUAAUCUUCACUCAACUCUUUUGAAAUCGAAGGCAAUGGUAUCCAUGUUCCAAACCUCUGUCAAGGUUUGUCAGUCAGUUCCUAUGGCAAGGCUGCCAAUGACUCUCUCCCACAGUGGGAGACCAUUUGAGCUGCCUUUUCUCAGGCCCUUAUCUUGCUAUCACCAGGAAUCACUGAUUAAGUGCCUCAGUAUGUAAUUGAGAAGAUAUAUACCAUAAAAGUUGGUUCUCUAAAUCCUAGAAUUUUAGCUGCUUAAGUAUCCACAUCAUGGUAAGUAGACUACUGUACCUCUAGUUACUGCAAGUGAAAAAGAAUGGGAUACAAGGGAGACUGGAAGCUACCUUAUGGAAGCAGAGCUUUCUGAGUAAGAGUGAAGAGUCUUUUUUUUUUUUUUUUUUUUUAAGAGUGAAGAGUCUUCCAGGGAACCUCCUCACCUAGUCGAAUAGAGACUGAAGUCAUGGAGUUCCUGUGCAAACCAU
rnacentral:lncRNA from 1 species